GUCGUUUGUUUAUGUGUUACAUAUUUGUUUUUCGUUCAUUUUUUUUUUUACAUAAAUAAUGCCGUUAGUUUUCUCGUUUGAGUUGUUUUACAUUGUCUUAUCGGGGCCUUUUAUAGCUGACUAUGCGCUAUUGGCUUUGCUUAUUGUUGAAGGCCGUACGGUGACCUAUAGUUGUUAAUGUCUGUGUCAUUUUGGUCUUUUGUGGAUAGUUGUCUCAUUGGCAAUCAUACCAUAUCUUCUUUUU
rnacentral:lncRNA from 1 species